GGAGGAGCCGGCUGGAGCCCCAGGGAGAGUUCGCUUUUCUUUGUCAAGGGUAGGGCCCCUUGGAAUGGGUUCCUCACCAGAGAGGGGCC
rnacentral:rRNA from 1 species